AAAUAAAAUAAAAUAAAAUAAUAUUAAAAAGCAGGAGUUCCCAACCCUGCUCUAAAAUACCUGUAGGUCCAUGGCCUGUUAGGAACAAAGCCACAUAGCAGGAGGUGAACAGCAGGCAAGCAAGCAAAGCUUCAUCUGUUUUUACAGCCGCUCCCCAUCACUCCCAUUACUGCCUGAGCUCUGCCUCCUGUCAGAACUGCUGCAGCAUUAGAUUCUCAUAGGAGCUUGAACCCUAUUGUGAACUGCACAUGCGAGGGAUCUAGGUUGCUCCUUAUGAGAAUCUAAUGCCUGACGAUCUGUCACUGUCUCCCGUCACCCCCAGAUGGGACCAUCUAGUUGCAGGAAAACAAGCUGAGUGAGGAUUCCCACUGAUUCUAUACUAUGAUCAUACCAAUCACCUCUGAGAAGCCCAAUCACUACAACCACUAACCACAACAUAAAUCAACGUGAGGACCUGAGAGCUCGCUUGCUCCCACUCUGUCCCUAGCCCAGCCUGGUUUUUCCAUCACAUGCUUCUUAGGCAGCAGGGAGCUGAGGCAGGGGGAACAUUUAGUUCCUUUUUCAAAGACUGGGAACACUUAAAAAUAUCUCCAAGUAAGCAACCAGCAUUCAGAGGAUGCUUAUUUACACUUUGUAGGAGCCUGGUGUUGGGACUCUGGCUCCUGGAUGGCGUCAAACCUGCCCUUGGGCUUGGCCGAGGCUGGUCUGGGAGUACCAUUUGCAAAUGGCUCUUGCUUCACGGUUGCAUCUCCAUCUGGGUAAACAACCUAGCGACAGCGCUGGCUCUUCUUAAGGCUGUCUGUUAUGGACUGAACUGUGUCCCUCUCAGAUUCACUUGUUAAAGUCCUGACCCCAGUACACCUCAGAAUGUGACUGUAUAUAGAAAUAGGGCAUGUAAAGCAGUCAUGACGGUUAAGUAAGGUCAUAUGGAUUGGCUCUAGUUCAAACGUGACUGGUAUCCUUCUAAGAAGAGGAAGAGACACCAGAGCUCACUCUCUUUCCACGCACACAAUGGCCAUGUGAGCACACUGUGAGAAGAUGCCAUCCGCAAGCCAAGAAGAGAGGCCUUGGGAGAAACCAAACCUGCUGUCACCUUGAUCUUGGACUUCCAGCCUCAAGAACUGUGAGAAAAUAAAUUUCUGCUGUUUAUUCCACCCAAUUUGUGGCAUUUUGUUAUGGCAGCCCAAGCCAACUAAGAUACCAUCCAUGUAAUUUCUUCUUGUAUGGCAAGGUCUUAACAUGAGACAUGAAUGAAUCAAUGGCCAUUUCUAUGCAGAAAUUUAAAAGCAUUCUUGAGUUCUCAUGGGGAGAUUUAAAUUCUCCAUAUAUGAACCCCUCUAGCCUGUACUUUCUUAUAGGAAAAUUCUCUGUGAGAUUGGAAUAUUCCAGAAGUUAACCAAAAGGAUCUUAAUUUACACUCUAUCUCCUAUUCCUCACAUUCCUAGUACUGUUAAUUACUCUCCUUCCUCAACCUCUGCUCCAUCCCUUUGGCAAGCCCAUGCAUUUAGUAGAUGUUUAUUGAGUGCUUCUCUAGGCCAGCUUAGGCUUUAGGCACUGGAGGUACGGGAAUGAAGAAAACAGAUAAGGCACGUGCUCUCACGUGGCUUCCAUCCUAGCAGAGGAAAACAGAAAUAAAAAUAAAUAAAUAAAUAAAUAAGGACUAUGUCAGAUAGUGAAAAGCUAUUCAGGAAUUUUAAAUACAGCAAUGCAAGAAUGACUGAGAGCCUGCUUUGGUUAGGCAGACAGGAACUCUGUCCUUUCCAACUAAAAACCAUUCUACUCCCUCUUCUCUUCUUUCCAUCAGCAUAACUACCCCUUGAGUGCAAGCUCCUGGGCUGGGCUCCUGCAAAAGCAUUCUAAUUGACCUCUCUGCCACCUCCUUUGCACCACUGCAGUUCAUUUUCCACAUAGCAGCUAGGGAAAUAUGUAAAAAACAAAGCUGGUUUUCAUUAUUCACAAUAGCUGUGUUCUAUAAAGUUGCUUCAAACCCUGAAUUCUGGAAUACUGAAGCAUUGCUC
rnacentral:lncRNA from 1 species